AACGAACGCUGGCGGCAGGCCUAACACAUGCAAGUCGAGCGAGGACUUCGGUCCUAGCGGCGGACGGGUGAGUAACGCGUGGGAACGUGCCCUUUGCUACGGAAUAGCCCUGGGAAACUGGGAGUAAUACCGUAUGUGCCCUUUGGGGGAAAGAUUUAUCGGCAAAGGAUCGGCCCGCGUUGGAUUAGGUAGUUGGUGGGGUAAUGGCCUACCAAGCCGACGAUCCAUAGCUGGUUUGAGAGGAUGAUCAGCCACACUGGGACUGAGACACGGCCAGACUCCUACGGGAGGCAGCAGUGGGGAAUCUUAGACAAUGGGGGAAACCCUGAUCUAGCCAUGCCGCGUGAGCGAUGAAGGCCUUAGGGUUGUAAAGCUCUUUCAGUGGGGAAGAUAAUGACGGUACCCACAGAAGAAGCCCCGGCUAACUCCGUGCCAGCCGCCGCCGUAAGAC
rnacentral:rRNA from 1 species